rnacentral:rRNA from 1 species
CAAGUCGAACGCGACUUAGGCUUCGGUCUAAGUUGAGUGGCGAACGGGUGAGUAACACGUGGGUGACCUACCUUCGAGUGGGGGAUAACGUCCCGAAAGGGACGCUAAUACCGCAUAACAUCCUGCCUUUGAACAGGUGGAGAUCAAAGCCGGGGAUCGCAAGACCUGGCGCUUGAUGAGGGGCCCGCGCCUGAUUAGCUAGUUGGUGAGGUAACGGCUCACCAAGGCGACGAUCAGUAUCCGGCCUGAGAGGGCGGACGGACACACUGGGACUGAGACACGGCCCAGACUCCUACGGGAGGCAGCAGUGGGGAAUUGUUCGCAAUGGGCGCAAGCCUGACGACGCAACGCCGCGUGGAGGAUGAAGGUCUUCGGAUUGUAAACUCCUGUUGCUCGGGACGAACAGCUCCGACCUAAUACGUCGGAGUCUGACGGUACCGAGUGAGGAAGCCCCGGCUAACUCUGUGCCAGCAGCCGCGGUAAUACAGAGGGGGCAAGCGUUGUUCGGAAUUACUGGGCGUAAAGGGCGCGUAGGCGGCCUGCUAAGUCGAACGUGAAAUCCCUGGGCUCAACCCAGGAACUGCGUCCGAUACUGGUUGGCUUGAAUCCGGGAGAGGGAUGUGGAAUUCCAGGUGUAGCGGUGAAAUGCGUAGAUAUCUGGAGGAACACCGGUGGCGAAGGCGACAUCCUGGACCGGCAUUGACGCUGAGGCGCGAAAGCCAGGGGAGCAAACGGGAUUAGAUACCCCGGUAGUCCUGGCCCUAAACGAUGAAUGCUUGGUGUGGCGGGUAUCGAUCCCUGCCGUGCCGAAGCUAACGCAUUAAGCAUUCCGC